UGAAGACAUCAGGAUGUACCAUCUGCCCUUCUGUCGGACCCCAGGGUACGUCCCAUGAGCGCGGCCGAGCUGCGUCGAGGGCAGCAGAGCGUGCUGCACUGCUCAGGGACCCGGACUCUGCAGCUUCUCCUGCACUGUUUUCACCUUUGGCCAGACGGGCUCCGGGAAGACCUACACCCUGACUGGACCCCCUCCCCAGGGGGAGGGGGUGCCCGUACCCCCCAGCCUGGCUGGCAUCAUGCAGAGGACCUUCGCCUGGCUGUUAGAACGCGUGCAGCACCUGGGUGCUCCUGUCACCCUUCGCGCCUCUUAUCUGGAGAUCUACAAUGAGCAGGUUCGGGACUUGCUGAGCCUGGGGUCUCCCCGGCCCCUCCCUGUUCGCUGGAACAAGACUCGGGGCUUCUAUGUGGAGCAGCUGCGGGUGGUGGAAUUUGGGAGUCUGGAGGCCCUGAUGGAACUUUUGCAAACUGGUCUCAGCCGUCGAAGGAGCUCAGCCCACACCCUGAACCAGGCCUCCAGCCGAAGCCAUGCCCUGCUCACCCUUUACAUCAGCCGUCAAACUGCCCAGCAGAUGCCUUCUGUGGACCCUGGGGAGCCCCCUGUUGGUGGGAAGCUGUGCUUUGUGGACCUGGCAGGCAGCGAGAAGGUAGCAGCCACGGGAUCCCGUGGGGAGCUGAUGCUUGAGGCUAACAGCAUCAACCGAAGCCUGCUGGCCCUGGGUCACUGCAUCUCCCUGCUGCUGGACCCACAGCGGAAGCAGAGCCACAUCCCUUUCCGGGACAGCAAGCUCACCAAGUUGCUGGCAGACUCACUGGGAGGGCGCGGGGUCACCCUCAUGGUGGCCUGCGUGUCCCCCUCAGCCCAGUGCCUUCCUGAGACUCUCAGCACCCUGCGAUAUGCAAGCCGAGCUCAGCGGGUCACCACCCGGCCGCAGGCCCCCAAGUCUCCUGUGGCAAAGCAGCCCCAGCGUUUGGAGACAGAGAUGCUGCAGCUCCAGGAGGAGAACCGUCGCCUGCAGUUCCAGCUGGACCAAAUGGACUGCAAGGCCUCAGGGCUCAGUGGGGCCCGGGUGGCCUGGACCCAGCGGAACCUGUACGAGAUGCUACAGGAGUUCAUGCUGGAGAAUGAGAGGCUCAGGAAAGAAAAGAGCCAGCUGCAGGAUAGCCGAGACCUGGCCCGGAAUGAGCAGCGCAUCCUGGCCCAGCAGGUCCAUGCACUAGAGAGGCGGCUCCUCUCUGCCUGCUACCGUCACCAGCGGGGCCCUGACCUGACCCCACCGUGUCCCUGCUUGAUGGCCCCAGCUCCCCCUUGCCACGUGAGUCUCACUGUCCAGCCUGGAGGGGUGACGAGUAGGGAUGUCAUGGAGUCUCUGACACACCCUUUUGCAGGCACUGCCUCCCCUCUACUCCUGCCCCUGCUGCCACAUCUGCCCCCUGUGUCGAGUGCCCCUGGCCCACUGGGCCUGCCUGCCAAGGGAGCGCCACCUGCCCCAGGUGUUGGACCCUGAGGCCUCAGGUGGCAGGUCCCCAUCUGCCAGGCCCCCACCCUGGGCACCCCCAUGCAGCCCUGGCUCUGCCGAGUGCCCAAGAGAGAGGAGCCACAGUGACUGGACUCAGACCCGAGUCCUGGCAGAGAUGUUGACGGAGGAGGAGGUGGUACCUUCUGCACCUCCCCUGCCCGUGAGGCCCCCGAAGACAUCACCAGGGCUCAGAGGUGGGGCCGGGGUUCCAAACCUGGCCCAGAGACUGGAGGCCCUCAGAGACCAGAUUGGCAGCUCCCUGCGACGUGGCCGCAGCCAGCCACCCUGCAGUGAGGGUGCACGGAGCCCAGGCCAAGUCCUCCCUCCCCGUUGAAGGCCAAGUGGGAACCCAGGAGACUGCUGUGUGACCUCAGACUGGGCUCCGCACUCUUGGGCUUCAGUCUGCCCAUCUGCUGAAUGGAGACAGCAGCUGCUACUCCACCUGCAGCUGGGCUAGGGGUGGGGACUUGGGGUGCUAUUUAGGGGAGCAAGGUGAUUCAGGAGAAACCAGGCAGCAGGGGAUGAAAUACAUGAAUAAAGAGAGGCAUCAGCUCCAA
rnacentral:sRNA from 1 species